rnacentral:rRNA from 1 species
GUUUGAUCCUGGCUCAGGACGAACGCUGGCGGCGUGCUUAACACAUGCAAGUCGAGCGAUGAAGCUUCCUUCGGGAAGUGGAUUAGCGGCGGACGGGUGAGUAACACGUGGGCAACCUGCCUCAAAGAGGGGAAUAGCCCUCCGAAAGGAGGAUUAAUACCGCAUAAAGUUAGAGUUUCGCAUGAAACUUUAACCAAAGGAGUAAUCUGCUUUGAGAUGGGCCCGCGUCCCAUUAGCUAGUUGGUAAGGUAAUGGCUUACCAAGGCAACGAUGGGUAGCCGACCUGAGAGGGUGAUCGGCCACAUUGGAACUGAGACACGGUCCAGACUCCUACGGGAGGCAGCAGUGGGGAAUAUUGCGCAAUGGGGGAAACCCUGACGCAGCAACGCCGCGUGGGUGAUGAAGGUUUUCGGAUCGUAAAACCCUGUUUUCUGGGACGAUAAUGACGGUACCAGAUGAGGAAGCCACGGCUAACUACGUGCCAGCAGCCGCGGUAAUACGUAGGUGGCAAGCGUUGUCCGGAUUUACUGGGCGUAAAGGGUGCGUAGGCGGAUGCUUAAGUGAAAUGUGAAAUACCUAGGCUUAACUUAGGGGCUGCAUUUCAAACUGGGCAUCUAGAGUACAGGAGAGGGAAACGGAAUUCCUAGUGUAGCGGUGAAAUGCGUAGAGAUUAGG